GGUAUUUAAAUUCAGUAGCUUUUCCUUCUCCACAUUAAGCACAAACUGUUUUACUUCACAUUGUAUUUUCAGGGAACUUAAAAUGUAAAGACAUCCUGAAUGCACUGUGCAGAAAAUGAGUGCAUUAACCUCUGCUCUGGAUCGUGCUGCUGUCACAGCACUGUGCCCCUGCUCACAAACAGGAUGUCACCUCCCUGUCACUGAGUCCUGCAGGAGAUGGGUGCGGCCAUCUGCCAAGGUGCAGAACAGAACCACUUAAGAACUGACCAUGGAGAAUUGUCUGAAUGGCUGAAUUUGGAAUCAACCUCUGCUUUUCAAGAGGUCUGUGAAUGGACUGGAGAAAGCCUUGAUGAGAGCAAUCAUGCAACUUGAAAAUACAGCUUGUGAGGAAGGCUUGAAAGGAUUUGGUAUGUUUAACCUGGAUAAGAGAAGGCAGAGAGGAGACAUUGCAAUAAAUAUGUGGAAGACUGAAGCAAAGAGAGAAGAAAUAAACUGCUGGACAGAACAGAACGUUGUGAGCUUACACCCCUGCUGAGGAGAUAUCAGGAAGCCUUUCUCAUUGGUGUGUUCAGCAUGGGACUGGAUCACCUCCUGACGUGGGAUCUCUGCUAGCAGAGGGUUUAGCAAUGCACUAGACAAGCCAAUCCUGUUGCAAAAUCUAUUCAUCUGCCUAUGACUAGACAGCAAUGUUGAGAAUAACAUUCACAACUCAUUACAUUUCAUUCUUCUAAAACCAAUAAUCUACUUUUAAAAGAAGAGUAAGAACUGUUAUGCAACAAAGUCACAGCAGUGAGCAACUUGAUGGGAUAUAAAUGAGGGAAACGAUCAAAAAAAGGUAUAGAUUUCUAUUGUGUUUUUUUCUUUUUUUUUUUUUUAGUGAGGGGAUAUUGCUGAUUUCUGAGAGGUGCAAGCCUUGCUCUGCUCACUAUGACUCACCUGUUUUUCCCUCUGUUCCUUACAGCCAGAUGGCAUAAGCCAGUAAAGGCCAAAUAAUUCAUCAUUCCACAGACUUGCAAUGGACUGGCCCCCAGAUGAGGCCUGGAAUGUUGGAAAUCUUUUCAUGCCGCUACAGGCAAGACAGUUUCUCUGUAUUAUUGUAGAGUUGAGUUUAUAAAUGCUGCAGUGGAACAUCAAGCACUACUAAAAUCCUGAUUUUGAUGGGUAAUAUCAGUCUUUUCUGGAAUGCCUUUAUGAAUCCUUGACUUUAACAACAUAGCUGUAUUUCUUUAAAAAGAGCAUCACAAGUGGCCUGCAGAUAAACAGUGAAGAAUGGUUAAUUGCCCUUCAAGUAAAAUAACUCUAUGAGCAGUCAAUGGAAGAAUUGAGAGCAGCACUCUGUCAGUCAUCAAAGCCAACCAACUAUUUGGAGGGCUAUACAGCAUCACUGCCUUCAUCAGAUUACUGGUUCACAGACAGACAACAUCAGCCCAACCUUUUGUAUCCAAAACAGUGACCAUGUUAUAUGUGUAUUGUGCUCAGUGCUCCAUUCUUCCAGGCUGUUACCAAAUGACUAUGGAUUGUGCAUGACACACACAAAAAAGCAAUUCCUUGGGCUUGAUUAUCUAGUCUAGCCAGGCAUAGAGUGCUAGCCAGUGGAAUGGCAUGAAAAGUUGUAGCUCAAGAUGACAGGAUGGAAAGAAUGAUAGAAAUUGUAAUGGUUGUUCUUAUAAAUCCCCAGGAGACAGCCUGGCUCAUGCUGAGACACCCUAUGCAGGUGCUUGUGCAAUCAGGUGUCAUUUCAGGUAAGCCCAACUACAUAAUUUUUGACGUUGUUUGUAUUAUUUCUAUUUUUGGAUUCAAGCUGUUAACCAGUUUGGAGAUUAGUAGGUUGCAUGUGUUAGAAGACAAUUAUGUGAUGAUGCGAGGCAUUGCCUCAAUGAAGCUUACUUACAAAGUAUGGAAAAAUACUCUUUCCAAAAGUAUUGGAUUAAAUGAACCACAGAUUUUUGUGCACAGUACUUAGACCAAAGCCAGUAUUUUCACAAAAAAGCAUUCUCAAAUGCAGUUUUCGUUUUUCACCCUUUGUGUCCCUACUGUAUGUAUGUUUGCUUCUUUUCUCUCAGACAAAUGCAAAGCUCUCCAUUUCAAAUGCCCUUUUUGCACUUUCUGCAUUAGUCCAGAGGGAAACCAUGUGGAUAAUGUGCAAUGUACAGAAGUUUUGCCGUGUGUCUGUCAUUUGAGUUGCUGUUGUUUCAGCUCUCUGAUUCCAGAGGGGUGUUUAUUUUUCAUGCUUAUUUUAAGGAGAACAGUCACGAUUACCCACCAGCUUCUACAAAAUUCCAUGAAGCAGAUCUUCAUGUCAGCUUAGCAGGACAUUUACACCAGUAAUUUGAAUAUUGGUUUUAACAAAACAUCUGUCAUGAAAUACAUGCAUUCUUUUUAGAGCCUUCAUAUUAGUUUGUUCUGAAAAAUAAUCAUCCUUCCUUGCAUAUAAAAGACAUAGACUUAUUCUUUAGGACUAUUUUUGUACAUUUCAUCUUUGUAUUUUAUUUUCUCAUAUGAAAGUGAGCCUUCUGAACAGUAGGAUACCAUGUACAGCCCUUGGUGAUAUCUGAAAGCCUUGAUUUUAAAAACAAUUGCAUCCCAAGUGCAUCUGUCAAGUAAGUGAAAAACCUUUAGAUCACACAGGACUGACAAAAUGGAUGAAGAUGUAAUUGCUUCUGGUUUAGUCAGCAAGGAAAUGGAGUCUCAACACCUGGCCAAAAGACUGCAGACAGCAGUCCUGUAAAAGCACUCCAGCCAUAGCAGCAUAUCUUAAGGUUGAAAACAAGCAUGUCAAACCUGAAAUACCAAAAGGUAGCAUUCUUCACAAACCUUCCACUUGAAAGUACUUUACCUUGCAAUUAAGCUUCAGUUUACACUAACUUCCAGAAGUGAAGCUUUUUAAACUGCCAGCCAGCACAGCAGCAGGAAGACUCUGUGGACUGGACUUAACUCACCAUGCCAUUUCACUGCCAUUAGAGGCAGCUAACAGGUAAAAACAGGUGCUCAUAGAUUGUAAGGCAUCACAACGUAUUACCAAUUCUCUGAGAAACCCUAUAUCCCUCUCUCUUUCCUCUCAUAAGGAUGCUUUAUUAUAAUUACAUAUCACUUUAUUAGGCAGCUGAAGCAAAGAGGCAAAGAGCACAUUUGAUGCUAAUGAAGUGCUGCUGUGGUUGAGUCUGUCACUAUUUUUGGACCUGCACAUCUCCAGCACUUUUGAUUGGGUGACUGAGGCUUUGGAUGUCUCUAGCUUCUUCUGUGGCAGAUGCUCAGUGAAAAGCAAUGACUCAGCUAGCCAGGAACGCAGAACUGUUUACAUGCUCAGAAUGAGAAAAGCUGUGGGACAGCAAGAAUGCACACAAAAGCUCUUUAUUUGGUGGAUGUACUUUUCAGGUAGCAGAUGAUAUUAUCUAGAUUGAAAAAAAUCCUUCUAAUACUGACACUGCUUCUCACUUGGAUAUCUGUACAGUUGUCAUUAAUUCUUCUUUUCCAUCCCCCACCUUAAAUCACCUCAAAAAAAUGGCUGAUUUCACAGAACUCAGGGAAAAUAUUUUGGAGGUUAAGUGCAAAACAAAUCACAGCUAUUCACUGGCUAUUUUUCCUUAUGAAAAAUGAGGGUUUUGCUGUUCCCCUUUUUCUGAUUUGAAGCCUGAGUUGCUUGGCACAGUAAGAGCAUGAUUUGGUAUUAACAGCUAGUGCCUCUGCUCCCACACCCCUUUGUGCUAGUUUAUAUCUCCAAAGGAAAUACUCAUUCCCUCAUUCCUCCCUCUCCCCCCCCGCCCCCCACCUUGCAAAAACUCUUACAAGCUUGUUUAGCUCCUGGUUCACCCCCCAGACAAGUGAGAGUACUGGGACAAAGGAGGCAGGAGUACCUGAGACCAUUUCUCUGUACGUAAGACAACAAUUACAUUACCAACUCACAUCCUGACAGUACAUUGAGAAUCAAGAGCCUCCCUAUUCAAUAAACAAGAUUAAUGGGUCUAAUAGAAAUUUCAUGUUGAUUGAUACACAUGUGAGGAAUGUGUCAAAGUAAAUCAUAAUUAUAGAAAAGACUAUUGUAUCUAAAUGAUUUGUUUCCUUAGACUAACCCACAUAGCUAUUUCCUUACUACAGCUUCCCCAUUCCAAAAGGGGGAUGAGUGAAGCAGGAACACCUCUUAACUUCUUCCUUAGAGUGCAACUGUAUGUUGGUUUGCAUACUUUGCAACAUCACAUGGAGCUACAGACUUUAUUGAUCAAGGUCUGCUUUGUUUUUACCCUUUUCCCAUUUAAGUACCCCUGUGUACAAUCUUUCUUUAAGCAAGAUUUGUAAGCAUAUUGCUUUGCUUCCUUCAGUAGUACCAGCUAACUUACUUUAGCACUAGCAGUGAGAUGCAUGCAACACUUCCAUGUCUUUCUAGUUGAUUUAUACUAACAGAGCCAGCCCCAUCAGUGCUGUAAAAUCUCACAUCAAUUUAAAAGCCUCUAACUAUGACCAUCAUCCACCAAACCACAUACAACAGAAGAUGCGACUCAUCACAAACAUUGCUUUGAUGACAGUGAAAAAUAAAGACCAUCUUCCAGGAGCAGCACGGGGCAGAACCUGGCACAGAUAAUCAUGAAACAGCCAGUCAGCAGCACAAGAGUGCAUGCUGCAUUUGGACAAAGCUUGCUCAUUGGCUCCCUCUGCUGAAGCACACUGAAAUUAAAUUUAAUUAAAGAGGAAGAUGGUGGAAGGACAAUCAGUGCCUCUGUAUUCUAACACCAGCCAGCAUUAGCUAUAGAAAGAAUUACAGUCUCUGAUCUAUGAGAAUCCAGAGACAGGUAUUGUCCACAAAUCUAGACCCUGUUCUUCCCCUCAAUGCAUUUGAGACUACUAUGUGACAUGCUGCAGCCUUGCACCUCAGUGAAGGCUGUCUCACUCCCUUUUCUAGCCUCUUUUCAUGAAGCUUGUAUGAAUUUCAUGAAAUCUUGACUCCCUGUCAAGUUUGACCCCACUGGCUACUUUCCUCUAGGAAUUAAUGGGAAAACAGAUGGCGCAGUUAUAUAAGCCUCAUUUCCUGCAAAAGUCUGGCUAAGAAAGAUCUCAAGCAUGCCAGAUUUGUUAAUAUGUACAUCCUCACUUUUUGUAAGAACAGACCUAUUACUAUCUAAGCAUUUUUUUCCAGGUAUUUGGUAACUGACCUCAACAGAGAAAGCAGACAGGAUGAACUUUCUCUAGCUCUUUCUGCCAGUUGCUAAGAUUGGGAAGUUCACUGAAACUCUAAGCUGCCCAGGAGAGAAACACACUUGCCUUUCACUGAAGCUUUUUAAUUUAUUUCUGAGAUUACAGAAUUAAAAAACAUACUUUUACUCCCUGAUCUAAGCAGGUACUGCAGUGGCAAGGAUUCUUGCUUCACAACUAAGGAUGUUAGAGCCUACAAAUAAAGAACAAGCAAGCAUUGGGUAAUUAAACCCUACAAAACUCACUUUAGAAUACUCUGGUGUUCCUACUUAAGAAAAGCAAGGCGUAGCUCCAGAAAGGCCUCUAAGAAGUUGCUGUAUUUGUCAAGGUUUAUGUAGUGAUUGAUGGAUCAAAGCAGUUCACCAGAAAUGCCAUUUGAACAAAGCUGCAUCCAAACUUUAAAAUG